rnacentral:lncRNA from 9 species
GGGAACUGCAAAAAAGAUGACUGGCUGGUCUAGGACUUUAAUCAUCAGUUACCUGAAAGGAAAGAAAUGGGUUUACAUCAAGUAUUGUCCAUCAAGCUAUGGGUUCCAAAAUAUGAACUUGGCUUCCCACACAGGAUUAAAUACAACACAAUCCUUAUUAUUGAAUAAAACAUCUACAAGCAGCCUGGAAACCACUGUUAAAAUACUUAAACAUUAACCACCCUAUGUUUGGUGACUAACGAAGCUUUGGUGGAUCAGUUAAUAAUUUCAAAAGAUUCAGGUAAGAUAAAGAGACUGCUAAUAUUUUAAAAUACAUACACGCAUUAGUAAUGUAUUUUUGAAUAGAGCUUGAAAGAACAGGGGUAAAAAUUAUGUAUGGGUCCAGAAAACAGACAGAAACUAACUUUUACAUGUUUAUACUGGUGUUAUACACACACACAUGAAUAUAUAAGGUAUAUCUUAUAUAUUUUUAUUUUUAAUUUAGUCAACCUAAUAAUUCUAUAGGGAGUCAGAGGAAUGGAAUAUGUGAACUAAGAUAAAAGUGAACAGAGUUCCUGUGUGACUCAGGGGGGUGAGUUUAUGGCAUUGUUACUGCACUGGCUCAGGUUCGAACCUAUGCUUGGGAACUUCGACAUGCUAUGGGCAUGGCCAAGAAAAAAAAAAGGUAGGAUGAACAUAUGUUAUUUCAUAUGAAAUGUGCUUCAAUAAAUCAUAAUUUAUUAAUAUAUUGGGACUUCAUUACAGGGAAGAAUUCAGUUUAUGCCUAGUAGAGUUUACUGCUCAAAGAAAUGGAGAGACCAAGUUAUUGCAUUAUUUAAACUGUAUCAUCUUAUGGAAUAAUAGUAGCCCUUGCCAAUUUAUUAAUGUAUAUCAGAAACUGGCA